rnacentral:misc_RNA from 1 species
GAUGAAGAACGUAGCGAAAUGCGAUAAGUAAUGUGAAUUGCAGAAUUCAGUGAAUCAUCGAAUCUUUGAACGCACAUUGCGCCCGCCAGUAUUCUGGCGGGCAUGCCUGUCUGAGCGUCAUUUCAACCCUCAUGCCCCUAGGGCGUGGUGUUGGGGAUCGGCCAAAGCCCGCGAGGGACGGCCGGCCCCUAAAUCUAGUGGCGGACCCGUCGUGGCCUCCUCUGCGAAGUAGUGAUAUUCCGCAUCGGAGAGCGACGAGCCCCUGCCGUUAAACCCCCAACUUUCCAAGGUUGACCUCAGAUCAGGUAGGAAUAACCGCUGAACUUAAGCAUAUCAAUAAGCGGAGGA